UGGAGACGGAGAGAGGCAGGCAGGCAGGCAGGGCGAGGGCGAGAGACGGAGGGAGGGAGCGAGCGAGGCAGACCAGACAGACAGACAGGCGGGCGGGCGGGCAGAGCGAGCCACCCGCCAGGCUGCGCUCAGCCCCGCUCGCAGCGGAGAGAGCAGAAGGCAGGAGGAGGGAGGGGAGGAGGGAGGAGGGAGGGAGAGAGGGAAUCCAGCUACCACCACCCAAAGCCAGCGUCUGCUUUCUGUCCUCAUUUCCUUUUCCCACCCAGCUCGGAGAGCAGAGAAAGGCAGAGAGAGCGAGAAAUAGAGACAGGCAGACAAACAGACAGACAGACAGACAGAGCGGGAGGGAGGAGGGCGGCGGAGGAGGAGCAGGAGGACUACGCGGGGCGCCUUCCCUCCCAGCCAGGCGUCCGCGUCGCUGCCGCUGGCGGAAGAUAGACGCCCCCCGAAACCCCUCGCCUGGCUCGGACCCACGGAGCCGGCAGCCCAGCACUCCGAUGGGAGCUUGCCUGAUUGUCUACUCAUCGGCCUGGACCCCAGAGCCAUCCCAGCUGAGUGUGUGCGGAGGGUCCCAGGCGAGGGGCACCACUCGGGCCUCUGCAGAAACCACCCUGGAGAAGCUGAUGCUGGUGGAGACAGAGCUUUCCUGCUGAGCCAGGCCUCUGCAAAGCCUGCUCAGGCGCUGUCCACAUCCCGAGGCCUGGGCUCAGGCCGAAGUUGCUCCACAACGUCCCCAGCUGACGGCCAGCGACUGGCAGAGUCCCCAAGCACGGGGGCCCUCCGUUUACCAGAGAUACCCAGUGUGACAGCCCAAGCGGCAGAGCCGAGGGU